rnacentral:rRNA from 1 species
CCUACGGGAGGCAGCAGUGAGGAAUAUUGGUCAAUGGACGCAAGUCUGAACCAGCCAUGCCGCGUGCAGGAAGACGGCUCUCUGAGUUGUAAACUGCUUUUGUACGAGGGUAAACGCAGAUACGCGUAUCUGUCUGAAAGUAUCGUACGAAUAAGGAUCGGCUAACUCCGUGCCAGCAGCCGCGGUAAUACGGAGGAUUCAAGCGUUAUCCGGAUUUAUUGGGUUUAAAGGGUGCGUAGGCGGUCGGAUAAGUUAGAGGUGAAAUCCCGAGGCUCAACUUCGGAAUUGCCUCUGAUACUGUACGGCUAGAGAGUAGUCGCGGUAGGCGGAAUGUAUGGUGUAGCGGUGAAAUGCUUAGAGAUCAUACAGAACACCGAUUGCGAAGGCAGCUUACCAAGCUACUUCUGACGUUGAGGCACGAAAGCGUGGGGAGCAAACAGGAUUAGAUACCCGUGUAGUC